CCCCAGAGCCAGAUCUCCCUGCGGUUCUCACCUGGUUUCCCACUGAAGCUAAGCAGGGUUGAGUCUGGAUAGUAUUUGGAUGGGAGAACUCCUGUGGGGAAAACUAAGGUCCUAGAAG
rnacentral:rRNA from 1 species